AUCUCUUCUCUAUUAGCUCAAAUCAAACGUAGUAUCUGUCUUACAAAGUAAAGCACCUGAUGUAUUUUUUAUCUGUGUUCUGGGAAUUAAAUUAAUGUUUGGAAUUAGGAGAUGGAUUGGGUGCUUACUCUAUCCGCUCCACGCCUCAACUUGGAAUUGCACUACUUCCAGGAAUAGUACACUCCUU